rnacentral:rRNA from 1 species
UACGAAGGGGGCUAGCGUUGCUCGGAAUUACUGGGCGUAAAGGGCGCGUAGGCGGAUAUCUAAGUUGGGGGUGAAAUCCCGGGGCUCAACCUCGGAAUUGCCUUCAAAACUGGAUAUCUUGAGUUCGGGAGAGGUGAGUGGAAUUCCGAGUGUAGAGGUGAAAUUCGUAGAUAUCGGGAGGAACACCGGUGGCGAAGGCGGCGACCUGGGCCAAUACUGACACUGAGGUGCGAAAGCGUGGGGAGCAAACAGG